GAUUUGCAAGGAUGGGCUAAAUAUGGGGCGGGACUUCCGGGGCAGCCGGAGUAGGUAAUGUCGGGAGGUGUAGUGGGAAGGAAAGGACACGUCAGCAUCUGGCCGCGGGGCGCGGGGGGCCAUGGGAGCCCCAGGGGCGGAGCCAGCCGCGCCCUCCCGCCUGACCUCGCCCAUGACGUCCUUCCCCGCUGGCCUCAGGGGCGCACACUUGUAUACCCACCUAGGUGGGCGCCGCUGUACCCGGGAAUGCGGCCUGGGAGGGUGGAGCCACGCAGGCAGAGUCCUGGAGGAAUCUCCGUACCCGCUCCACUCGACUUCCGACAUUUUACCUUGGCUAAAAAAUCCUGAAGUCGGUCCUAAAGUCAGCAAACUCAGAGUUAAAGUUUCAGCAAGUAACAGCAAACUAGAUUAACCAUGGCAUAAACAUACAGAAGUCCCCCCUUAUCUGAAAGAUCAAGAAGCUGGAGGUAUUUGUUUAAAAGUUCAACCAUCUCA
ensembl:lncRNA SND1-DT SND1 divergent transcript